rnacentral:rRNA from 1 species
GAUGAACGCUGGCGGCGUGCCUAAUACAUGCAAGUCGAGCGAACGGACGAGAAGCUUGCUUCUCUGAUGUUAGCGGCGGACGGGUGAGUAACACGUGGAUAACCUACCUAUAAGACUGGGAUAACUUCGGGAAACCGGAGCUAAUACCGGAUGAUAUUUUGAACCGCAUGGUUCAAAAGUGAAAGACGGUCUUGCUGUCACGUAUAGAUGGAUCCGCGCUGCAUUAGCUAGUUGGUAAGGUAACGGCUUACCAAGGCAACGAUGCAUAGACGACCGGAGAGAGUGGUAGCCCACACGAGAACUGAACCACGGUCCAGACUCCUACGGGACGCAGCAGACGGCAACGUUACGCAACAGGGGAAAGCAUGACAGAGCAACGCCGAGUCAGAGAUGGAAGUGUUCGGAUCGUAAAACUCUGUUAUGAGGGAAGAACAGCUGUGUACGUAAAUGUGCCGAUCUUGACGGUAACUAAUAAGAAAGCACCGGCUAACUACGUG